rnacentral:rRNA from 1 species
AUGAUUGUUGUGAAGAAGCUUGCAGAAAAUUCUCCGAUCGCACGUGACAAAGCAUUUUUUAAUGAAGUUCAAAAUAUCAUGGCUCUCCAACACGACAAUAUUGUGAAGUUAGUCGGCUUUUGUCAUGAAGGUCAAAAGAAAAUAGUGCAGAAAGAGGGAAGGUAUAUUGUUGCAGACAUUUAUGAAAGUUUACUCUGCUACGAAUAUUUACCUAUGGGAAGUCUUCACAAAAAUCUUUUUGAAUCCAACGGCAUGGACUGGAACACACGGUUCAAAAUAAUUAAGGGGAUCUGCCGAGGUUUACUUUUUCUACAUAAUAUCUGUAUUAUCCAUAUGGAUCUGAAGCCUCAAAACAUACUGUUGGGUGAUGAUAUGGAACCGAAAAUUGCGGAGUUUGGUAUCUUGAGAUUUCUCGAUCAAGAAGUACUACGGUUAAAUACCCAAGAUGUCGUGGGAACAUAUGGAUACGUGGCUCCAGAAUAUUUACACAGAGGAGAAUUCUCCACCCAGUCAGACAUAUAUAGUUUAGGUGUACUAAUCUUGGAGACCACUACAGGACAGGAGAAUGGCAAGAAAGACCCAUCUGGAAGAGAAUACAUAUAUGAAGUACGCAAUAAUUGGACGGAUGAUUAUAUAGCGUCCAAGCACCAUUCGCUCGGUGCAGAUUCCUUGCAUCAGAUAAAAGUAUGCAUUCUUGUUGGACUAAAAUGUGUGGAUACUGAUAGGAAGAUGAGACCUUCCAUACAAUGGAUUGUUGACAUGCUCGAAGGACGGGUGGCAUGCUCCAGCAAGCCUCUGAUCGUGCCAGAGCCUUUGGCAUGGACCAGUAGGCAUCUGAUCGUGCAACCUCCAGAGCUCCGCUUCUCUUUUGAGCCAAAAAGGUUGAUCUCCUGUUCAUUUUCUCUCACGAACACAACAGAUGGUCAUAUCGCCUUCAUGCUUGUAACGGAAAAUCCAAGGAUAUACCUUACAAAGCUACCACUUUGCGGUGUUGUGCCGCCAAAUCACAUCUACACCAUAAAUGUGACCAUGCGCGAGCAUAAGGAAUCAAGAAAUGGCGAGUUUCUGACCCUCCGGAGCAGUACGGCGCGUGAGGAGCAACUCACGAAUGCCCACCCAGAUUCCUUAGCCGGUGAUGAGGUGAAAGAGGUGAAGCUGUGUGUUGUUUGUGAUCGACAAGAGGGUACAACCUCAAAUCAGUCGAUCCAACCAGCAGCAGAGGUCAUAGCCAGUCAGAACUAUCGGCUGGUGCUGUCCGUAGACGUGCACCCAAACAAACCAUGGAUCUUGACGAGCAAUCGGAGGGGUUGUGUUUGCAUUUGGAACUAUCAGACCAAGACAGAGGAGAAGUACUUUGAAGUCAGCGCAGAGAAACCAGUAUAUUCGGCAAUGUUCAUUGAGCGAGAGGAAUGGAUCAUGGCUGGUGGUGGAGAUGGGUACAUCUACGUGUACAGAUAUGACACAAUGGAAGAAAUCAUGAGCUUCAAAGCUCAUGAUGAUCAUCACAUCAGGUCUUUGGCUGCAAGUCCAACUCGCACUUUUUUGCUGUCGGCAUCAGAUGACCACAUGAUAAAGAUCUGGGACUGGAAGGAUAGCUGGAAGUGCAUGCGGACGUUUCUAGGGCACGGUAACUGUGUCACGCAAGUAAUGUUUGACCCGAACGACAGCAACAGCUUUGCGAGUGCUUCCUUGGAUCACACGAUCAAGAUGUGGGAUAUUUACUCUACGACGUGCAAUGCCACGUUAGACGGACAACCUGAUGGUGCGCUCUGCCUUCAUUACCUCACAGAUAGGAAUGAGCAGCGUUUACUUUGUGGAUAUCUGGAUGGUGCUGCAAAGAUCUGGGAUCCGGAGAAAGAAUGUUGUGUUAGUGCGGAUGGAGGGAUUGCAAAGAGUGUCAAUGCUCUUUGUUGGCACCCCGAACUUCGUGUAGUAAUUACAGGUUCACUUGAUGGCACAGUCCAAAUCUGGAAGUCCACUAAACCUGGAUACAGGCUUGAGAAUAUAAUUGGUUUCAACCUCGGUGCAGUUAACGCUAUUGGAUACAUACAGGGAUUAACAAGGUAA